UACGUAGGGAGCAAGCGUUAUCCGGAUUUACUGGGCGUAAAGGGAGCGUAGGCGGCCUGCCAAGUCUGGUGUGAAAGGCCGGGGCUCAACCCCUGGACUGCACUGGGAACUGUCAGGCUGGAGUGCCGGAGGGGUAAGCGGAAUUCCUGGUGUAGCGGUGAAAUGCGUAGAUAUCAGGAGGAACACCGGCGGCGAAGGCGGCUUACUGGACGGCAACUGACGUUGAGGCCCGAAAGCGUGGGGAGCGAACAGG
rnacentral:rRNA from 1 species